rnacentral:tRNA from 1 species
GGAGUGGUAGUUCAGUUGGUUAGAAUGCCUGCCUGUCACGCAGGAGGUCGCGGGUUCGAGUCCCGUCCGCUCCG